UACGUAGGGCGCAAGCGUUAUCCGGAAUUAUUGGGCGUAAAGAGCUCGUAGGCGGUUUGUCGCGUCUGCCGUGAAAGUCCGGGGCUUAGCCCCGGAUCUGCGGUGGGUACGGGCAGACUAGAGUGCAGUAGGGGAGACUGGAAUUCCUGGUGUAGCGGUGAAAUGCGCAGAUAUCAGGAGGAACACCGAUGGCGAAGGCAGGUCUCUGGGCUGUAACUGACGCUGAGGAGCGAAAGCAUGGGGAGCGAACAGG
rnacentral:rRNA from 1 species